GGGUUGUGAGGUUAAGCGACUAAGCGUACACGGUGGAUGCCCUGGCAGUCAGAGGCGAUGAAGGACGUGCUAAUCUGCGAUAAGCGUCGGUAAGGUGAUAUGAACCGUUAUAACCGGCGAUUUCCGAAUGGGGAAACCCAGUGUGUUUCGACACACUAUCAUUACGUGAAUACAUAGCGUAAUGAAGCGAACCGGGGGAACUGAAACAUCUAAGUACCCCGAGGAAAAGAAAUCAACCGAGAUUCCCCCAGUAGCGGCGAGCGAACGGGGAGCAGCCCAGAGUCUGAAUCAGCUUGUGUGUUAGUGGAACGGUCUGGAAAGUCCGACGGUACAGGGUGAUAGUCCCGUACACCAAAAUGCACAGGUUGUGAACUCGAAGAGUAGGGCGGGACACGUGGUAUCCUGUCUGAAUAUGGGGGGACCAUCCUCCAAGGCUAAAUACUCCUGACUGACCGAUAGUGAACCAGUACCGUGAGGGAAAGGCGAAAAAGAACCCCGGCGAGGGGAGUGAAAAAGAACCUGAAACCGUGUACGUACAAGCAGUGGGAGCAUCCUUUUGGGUGUGACUGCGUACCUUUUGUAUAAUGGGUCAGCGACUUAUAUUCUGUAGCAAGGUUAACCGUAUAGGGGAGCCGAAGGGAAACCGAGUCUUAACUGGGCGUUAAGUUGCAGGGUAUAGACCCGAAACCCGGUGAUCUAGCCAUGGGCAGGUUGAAGGUUGGGUAACACUAACUGGAGGACCGAACCGACUAAUGUUGAAAAAUUAGCGGAUGACUUGUGGCUGGGGGUGAAAGGCCAAUCAAACCGGGAGAUAGCUGGUUCUCCCCGAAAGCUAUUUAGGUAGCGCCUCGUGAAUUCAUCUUCGGGGGUAGAGCACUGUUUCGGCUAGGGGGUCAUCCCGACUUACCAACCCGAUGCAAACUGCGAAUACCGAAGAAUGUUAUCACGGGAGACACACGGCGGGUGCUAACGUCCGUCGUGAAGAGGGAAACAACCCAGACCGCCAGCUAAGGUCCCAAAGUCAUGGUUAAGUGGGAAACGAUGUGGGAAGGCACAGACAGCCAGGAUGUUGGCUUAGAAGCAGCCAUCAUUUAAAGAAAGCGUAAUAGCUCACUGGUCGAGUCGGCCUGCGCGGAAGAUGUAACGGGGCUAAACCAUGCACCGAAGCUGCGGCAGCGACACUAUGUGUUGUUGGGUAGGGGAGCGUUCUGUAAGCCGUUGAAGGUGUGCUGUGAGGCAUGCUGGAGGUAUCAGAAGUGCGAAUGCUGACAUAAGUAACGAUAAUGCGGGUGAAAAACCCGCACGCCGGAAGACCAAGGGUUCCUGUCCAACGUUAAUCGGGGCAGGGUGAGUCGACCCCUAAGGCGAGGCCGAAAGGCGUAGUCGAUGGGAAACAGGUUAAUAUUCCUGUACUUGGUGUUACUGCGAAGGGGGGACGGAGAAGGCUAUGUUAGCCGGGCGACGGUUGUCCCGGUUUAAGCAUGUAGGCGGAGGUUCCAGGUAAAUCCGGUACCUUUUUAACGCUGAGGUGUGAUGACGAGGCACUACGGUGCUGAAGUAACAAAUGCCCUGCUUCCAGGAAAAGCCUCUAAGCAUCAGGUAACACGAAAUCGUACCCCAAACCGACACAGGUGGUCAGGUAGAGAAUACCAAGGCGCUUGAGAGAACUCGGGUGAAGGAACUAGGCAAAAUGGUGCCGUAACUUCGGGAGAAGGCACGCUGAUAUGUAGGUGAAGCGGUUUACCCGUGGAGCUGAAAUCAGUCGAAGAUACCAGCUGGCUGCAACUGUUUAUUAAAAACACAGCACUGUGCAAACACGAAAGUGGACGUAUACGGUGUGACGCCUGCCCGGUGCCGGAAGGUUAAUUGAUGGGGUUAUCCGUAAGGAGAAGCUCUUGAUCGAAGCCCCGGUAAACGGCGGCCGUAACUAUAACGGUCCUAAGGUAGCGAAAUUCCUUGUCGGGUAAGUUCCGACCUGCACGAAUGGCGUAAUGAUGGCCAGGCUGUCUCCACCCGAGACUCAGUGAAAUUGAACUCGCUGUGAAGAUGCAGUGUACCCGCGGCAAGACGGAAAGACCCCGUGAACCUUUACUAUAGCUUGACACUGAACACUGGUCCUUGAUGUGUAGGAUAGGUGGGAGGCUUUGAAGUGUGGACGCCAGUCUGCAUGGAGCCAUCCUUGAAAUACCACCCUUUAAUGGCUGGUGUUCUAACGUGGACCCGUUACCCGGGUUGCGGACAGUGUCUGGUGGGUAGUUUGACUGGGGCGGUCUCCUCCUAAAGAGUAACGGAGGAGCACGAAGGUUAGCUAAUCCUGGUCGGACAUCAGGAGGUUAGUGCAAAGGCAUAAGCUAGCUUGACUGCGAGAGUGACGGCUCGAGCAGGUGCGAAAGCAGGUCUUAGUGAUCCGGUGGUUCUGAAUGGAAGGGCCAUCGCUCAACGGAUAAAAGGUACUCCGGGGAUAACAGGCUGAUACCGCCCAAGAGUUCAUAUCGACGGCGGUGUUUGGCACCUCGAUGUCGGCUCAUCACAUCCUGGGGCUGAAGUAGGUCCCAAGGGUAUGGCUGUUCGCCAUUUAAAGUGGUACGCGAGCUGGGUUUAGAACGUCGUGAGACAGUUCGGUCCCUAUCUGCCGUGGGCGCUGGAGAAUUGAGGGGGGCUGCUCCUAGUACGAGAGGACCGGAGUGGACGCAUCACUGGUGUUCGGGUUGUCAUGCCAAUGGCAUUGCCCGGUAGCUAAAUGCGGAAGAGAUAAGUGCUGAAAGCAUCUAAGCACGAAACUUGCCCCGAGAUGAGUUCUCCCUGAGACUAUAAGUCUCCUGAAGGAACGUCGAAGACGACGACGUUGAUAGGUCGGGUGUGUAAGUGUAGCGAUACAUUGAGCUAACCGAUACUAAUGAACCGUGAGGCUUAACCUUACAACGCCGAAG
rnacentral:rRNA from 1 species